rnacentral:rRNA from 1 species
AACUGACGCUGAUGCACGAAAGCGUGGGGAACGUACAGGAUUAGAUACCCUGGUAGUUCACGCCGUAAACGAUGAUCACUCGCUGUUGGCAAUAUAGAGUCAGCGCCUGAGCGAAAGCAUUAAGUGAUCCACCUGGGGAGUACGUCGGCAACGAUGAAACUCAAAGGAAUUGACGGGGGCCCGCACAAGCGGUGGAACAUGUGGUUUAAUUCGAUGAUACGCGAGGAACCUUACCUGGGCUUAAAUGUAGCCGGACGAUUCCGGAAACGGGAUUUCCUUAACGGCUGGUUACAAGGUGCUGCAUGGCUGUCGUCAGCUCGUGCCGUGAGGUGUCGGGUUAAGUCCCAUAACGAGCGCAACCCUUAUUCUUAGUUGCCAGCGGGUAGAGCCGGGGACUCUAAGGAGACUGCCACCGUAAGGUGUGAGGAAGGUGGGGAUGACGUCAAGUCAGCACGGCCCUUACGUCCAGGGCUACACACGUGUUACAAUGGCCGGUACAGAAGGCAGCAAACUUGAGAGAGGGCGCGAAUCCAUGAAAGCCGUUCUCAGUUCGGAUUGGAGUCUGCAACCCGACUUCAUGAAGUUGGAAUCGCUAGUAAUCGCGCAUCAGCUCUGGCGCGNCGAAUACGUUCCCGGCCCUUGUACACACCGCCCGUCAAGCCAUG